rnacentral:rRNA from 1 species
GGCGCACGGGUGAGGAACACGUGGGAAUGUACCCCUUGGUAAGGAAUAACAUCUGGAAACGGAUACUAAUACCUUAUAAUGACUUCGGUCCAAAGAUUUAUCGCCAAGGGAUCAGCCCGCGCAUGAUUAGAUAGUUGGUGAGGUAAUGGCUCACCAAGUCUACGAUCAUUAGCUGGUCUGAGAGGAUGAUCAGCCACACUGGAACUGAGACACGGUCCAG